rnacentral:rRNA from 1 species
UACGUAGGGGGCGAGCGUUGUCCGGAUUUAUUGGGCGUAAAGAGCUCGUAGGCGGCGCGGUAAGUCGGGUGUGAAAUCUCGGAGCUUAACUCCGAAACUGCAUUCGAUACUGCCGUGCUUGAGGACUGGAGAGGAGACUGGAAUUUACGGUGUAGCGGUGAAAUGCGUAGAUAUCGUAAGGAAGACCAGUGGCGAAGGCGGGUCUCUGGACAGUUCCUGACGCUGAGGCACGAAGGUCAGGGGAGCAAACGGG